rnacentral:rRNA from 1 species
UACGGAGGGGACUAGCGUUGUUCGGAAUUACUGGGCGUAAAGCGCGCGUAGGCGGAUUUGCAAGUCGGGGGUGAAAUCCCGAGGCUCAACCUCGGAACUGCCUUCGAUACUGCGAAUCUCGAGUCCGGAAGAGGUGAGUGGAAUUCCUAGUGUAGAGGUGAAAUUCGUAGAUAUUAGGAAGAACACCAGUGGCGAAGGCGGCUCACUGGUCCGGUACUGACGCUGAGGCGCGAAAGCGUGGGGAGCAAACAGG